CUAUGCUACUUUUUUGAUAUGCUAAUAACAAACCAUGUAAUAGGCUAUGCUACGUUAUAAAAUAUGCUAAUCCUAAUCCUGUUUAAUGCUUUGCUACGUGGUGCGGCCUACCUCGGGCCCUGGGGUCCUCCCGGUCGGUUGCGGUGCUGGAGCUGCUGGUCGUCAUGGUGAAGGAGGACUCGCUCUGCAGCAGCUUGGCGACGCGGACGGCCAGGGAGCUGUCGCUGCUGUUCCCGUCGCUCAGCACGCCGUGCGCAGGCUCCGCCUCCACCACAGAGGCGGGGGAGGAGGGGGAAGGGGCGGGGCUCCCUGGCUCCUCCUCUUCCGGUGCCUCAGUGGGUUCGGGGGUCAGCCGAGGUUCAGAGGUCAGCCGAGGUUCAGAGGUUGUCUGAGGGUCAGGGGUCAGCCGAGGUUCAAGGGUCAGCUGAGGGUCAGGGGUCAGCCGAGGGUCAGGAGUCGUCUGAGGACCGGCGGACAUCUUCACCAAGGGGACGGCGAUCGUGGUCGUCAGGGGAACGUUGGUUCCGUCGGGGGGCGCGGCACUGCAGCCCUCAGGCUCCGCCCUCCUCGUUGUCUUGGCGACGAGGGGGGGCGGCUGCGACGACCCGCUCACAGAGCCCGCCUCCUGCCGUGUCGGUUGGCCGGCGGGGUGUGGCGGCGGGUGGUCCGGUCGCCGUGGCGACGGACCGGAAUCUCUCGGCGCCAGCAUGGAGUCGGACGAGGAGCGGGCCCACCGCGGGACAGAGGAGGAGGAGGAGCCAUCCAGUCCUCCCGCCCCCGCCCAGGAGGUGAAGGCGGAGUCUUGGAACACGGCCGCGCCCCCCCUCCUCCUCAGAGCGAGGAGGAGGUCGUCGUCGGAGUGGGGUCGCGACAUGGGCAAGGAGGAGGAGGAGGACACUCCCAGGGGGUUCUGGGUGGGAGGUGUGUAAGUGCCCACGGGGGCCUCCGCGGCGGUCCUCCUAGCGCAGGAGCUAGCCUGCGGCGGUGACACCAACGACUUCCUGUCUCUCGCCGUGCUGUCAGUCAGCGUGGACGAGCUGCUAGCCUCAAACCGGUCGCUGAGUCGGACGGGGACGCGGCCAGCGCCAACGCUAGUGCUAAUGCUAGUCUGGCUACUGCUAGAGCGGCUAACGCCGGCAUGGUGAUCGUGAGCACUUCGGACCUUAGCGUGGCUAACGCUGGCGUGCCUAGCACUAGCAUGGCUAACCCUAGCAUGCCGGUUACUGCUCACAUGGCUACCGCUAGCGUGCCUAGCACUAGCAUGGCUGACCCUAGCAUGGCGAUCGCUAGAACGGUUACUGCUCUCAUGGCUACCGCUAGCGUGCGUAGCACGAGCAUGGCUAACCCUAGCAUGGCGAUUACUAGAACAGUUACUGCUCACUUGGCUACCGCUAGCAUGGCUACCACUAUCAUGGCUAACUAUAGCAUGGCAGUCACGAGACGGCUACCGCUAGCGUGGGUGUGGCUAGCGAGGCUGGGGUUUGUUUGGGAGUCGCGUUGGGGGCUGGUCCGGCGAGGGGGAGACAGUGGGUUGGGCGUGAGCCGCUGGACAGAGGCUGUCCACGCUGAGCGUCACCGACACGCUGGAGUCCAGAGACAGCACGCUGCACUGGGAGACGUCCGGCUUAUGGGGGCUAACUCGGGCUCUCUGAUGGGCCCCCGGGGGCCAAAUGGGGUCAGGAUGGUGGAGGGAG
ensembl:lncRNA